rnacentral:RNase_P_RNA from 1 species
GGAGCGGGUCGGACGGUCGCCGGGUUUUUCCCGGAGGAAGGUCCGGACUCCAGCGGGCAGGAUGCUGGCUAACGGCCAGGCGCCAUAGGCUACCUUGUUGGGACGUCGUCCCAUCCAGGCGCCCAAAGCGACGGACAGUGGCACAGAAAAAAAACCGCCCGGCAUGCGAUUUGCCGGGUAAGGGUGAAAAGGUGGGGUAAGAGCCCACCGCACGGCUGGUGACAGGCGUGGCAGGCUAAACCCCAUCCGGAGCAACAUCAUGUAGGCACGCGACGCAGCCCAGGCUGCACAGGGCGCCCGCCCGAGCGUGCGGGUAGAUGGCUAGAGCCAGCCGGUAACGGCUGGUCAAGAGGAAUGAUCGUCACAUCGUGUAAGCGAUGGACAGAAUCCGGCCUAUAGACCCGCUCCCCUU